rnacentral:sRNA from 1 species
CAUCAAGGAUGUUAGCCUAAAAUCAUCGCAUCCAUGCGAUAACGGCUAACUGACCUGCAUCGAGCAGG